GUGCCCGUAGCUCAACUGGAUAGAGCAACGGCCUUCUAAGCCGUAGGUCGGGGGUUCGAGUCCCUCCGGGCGCA
rnacentral:tRNA from 1 species